rnacentral:rRNA from 1 species
GGCGCACGGGUGCGUAACGCGUGGGAAUCUGCCCUUAGGUUCGGAAUAACAGCGGGAAACUGCUGCUAAUACCGGAUGAUGACUUCGGUCCAAAGAUUUAUCGCCUAGGGAUGAGCCCGCGUAAGAUUAGCUAGUUGGUGGGGUAAAGGCCUACCAAGGGCUACGAUCUUUAGCUGGUCUGAGAGGAUGAUCAGCCACACUGGGACUGAGACACGGUCCAACACCUCAUACGGGAGGCAGCAGUGGGGAAUAUUGGACAAUGGGCGAAAGCCUGAUCCAGCAAUGCCGCGUGAGUGAUGAAGGCCUUAGGGUUGUAAAUGCUCUUUUAGCCCGGGGAUGAUAAUUGACGGUACCCGGGAGAAUAUGCUCCGGCUUAACUCCGUGCCUAGCCGCCGCGG